GAUGAACGCUAGCUGCAGGCUUAACACAUGCAAGUCGAGCGACCGGCGCACGCGUAAGUAACACGUAUCCAACCUUCCCUUUCCUCGGGGAGAGCCUUUAGACUGAAAGACUAAUACCCAAUGUAUAGGAUGGGGAUGGGUUGCAUUAGGUUGUUGGUGAGGGAACGGCUGACCAAGCCUUCGAUGGAUAGGGGGUCUGAGAGGAAGGUCCCCCACGAUUGAACUGAGGCACGGUCCACACUCCGACGGGAGGCAGCAGUGAGGAAUAUUGGUGAAGGAACGUUAGCCUGAACCAGCCAAGUAGCGUGAAGGAUGAAUGCGUAUGAGACGUAAGCUUCUUGUAUAUAAGAAUAGGUAUUUAAUGAAUAAGGAUCGGCUAACUCCGUGCCAGCAGCCGCGGUAAUUC
rnacentral:rRNA from 1 species